UUGAUCCAGAGAUUUCCGAAUGGGGGAACCCACUAUCUUUAGUCGGAUAGUAUCCUUACGUGAAUACAUAGCGUGAGGAAGGCAGACCCAGGGAACUGAAACAUCUAAGUACCUGGAGGAAGAGAAAGAAAAAUCGAUUUCCUGAGUAGCGGCGAGCGAAACGGAAAGAGCCCAAACCAAGAAGCUUGCUUCUUGGGGUUGUAGGACACUCUAUACGGAGUUACAAAAGAAAGUUAUAAAUGAAGCGGUCUGGAAAGGCCCGCCAAAGACGGUAACAGCCCGGUAGUUGAAAUGGCUUUCCCUCCAGAGUGGAUCCUGAGUACGGCGGAACACGUGAAAUUCCGUCGGAAUCCGGGAGGACCAUCUCCCAAGGCUAAAUACUCCCUAGUGACCGAUAGUGAACCAGUACCGUGAGGGAAAGGUGAAAAGCACCCCGGAAGGGGAGUGAAACAGUUCCUGAAACCGUGUGCCUACAAGUAGUUAGAGCCCGUUAAUGGGUGAUAGCGUGCCUUUUGUAGAAUGAACCGGCGAGUUACGAUUUGUUGCAAGGUUAAGCGGAAAAAGCGGAGCCGUAGCGAAAGCGAGUCUGAAUAGGGCGCAUAAGUAACAGGUCGUAGACCCGAAACCAGGUGAUCUACCCAUGUCCAGGAUGAAGGUAAGGUAAUACUUACUGGAGGUCCGAACCCACGCACGUUGAAAAGUGCGGGGAUGAGGUGUGGGUAGCGGAGAAAUUCCAAUCGAACUUGGAGAUAGCUGGUUCUCUCCGAAAUAGCUUUAGGGCUAGCCUCGAGGUAAAGAGUCAUGGAGGUAGAGCACUGUUUGGACUAGGGGCCCUUCUCGGGUUACCGAAUUCAGAUAAACUCCGAAU
rnacentral:rRNA from 1 species